UGCACUUUUUGGUAAGAAGAUGUUAACAAAAGUUGUUCGUCAUGAUGAGGGCUACAACUUUGCUUAAUAUCCUUUUAACAAAUUAUGCGUAUUUAAGGAGAUAGGGCUGCGCAUGCGCAAAACGUAUCUCCCUAGCUUUGCACUUUUUGGUAAGAAGAUGUUAACAAAAGCUGUUCGUCAUGAUGAGCGCUACAACUUUGCUUAAUAUCCUUUUAACAAAUUAUGCG
rnacentral:miRNA from 1 species